UACGUAGGCAGCAAGCGUUGUUCGGAGUUACUGGGCGUAAAGAGUGCGUAGGCGGUUCACCAAGUCUGCUGUGAAAUCUCCCGGCUUAACUGGGAGGGUGCGGUGGAAACUGGUGGGCUUGAGUGUGGGAGAGGUAAGCGGAAUUCCUGGUGUAGCGGUGAAAUGCGUAGAUAUCUGGAGGAACACCGGUGGCGAAGGCGGCAUCCUGGACCGGCAUUGACGCUGAACAGCGAAAGCCAGGGGAGCAAACGGG
rnacentral:rRNA from 1 species